rnacentral:rRNA from 1 species
AUUGAACGCUGGCGGCAUGCCUUACACAUGCGAGUCGAACGGCAGCACGGGUGCUUGCACCUGGUGGCGAGUGGCGAACGGGUGAGUAAUACAUCGGAACAUGUCCUGUAGUGGGGGAUAGCCCGGCGAAAGCCGGAUUAAUACCGCAUACGAUCUACGGAUGAAAGCGGGGGCCCUUCGGGCCUCGCGCUAUAGGGUUGGCCGAUGGCUGAUUAGCUAGUUGGUGGGGUAAAGGCCUACCAAGGCGACGAUCAGUAGCUGGUCUGAGAGGACGACCAGCCACACUGGGACUGAGACACGGCCCAGACUCCUACGGGAGGCAGCAGUAGGGAAUUUUGGACAAUGGGCGAAAGCCUGAUCCAGCAAUGCCGCGUGUGUGAAGAAGGCCUUCGGGUUGUAAAGCACUUUUGUCCGGAAAGAAAUCCUUGGCCCUAAUACGGUCGGGGGAUGACGGUACCGGAAUAAUAAGCACCGGCUAACUACGUG